UACGAAGGGUGCAAACGUUGCUCGGAAUUAUUGGGCGUAAAGCGCACGUAGGCGGCUUUGCAAGUCGGAUGUGAAAUCCCUCGGCUCAACCAAGGAAGUGCAUCCGAAACUGCAGAGCUUGAGUACCAAAGAGGAUCGCGGAAUUCCCGGUGUAGAGGUGAAAUUCGUAGAUAUCGGGAAGAACACCAGUGGCGAAAGCGCUCUACUGGGCCAUAACUGACACUGAGGGACGAAAGCUAGGGGAGCGAAAGGG
rnacentral:rRNA from 1 species